rnacentral:rRNA from 1 species
CGUGAACCAUCGAGUCUUUGAACUACAAGUUGCGCCCGAGGCUAUUUGGUGAGGGCACGCCUGCUGGGCAUCACG